UGCGUAGGUGGCAUGUUAAGUUUGAUGUGAAAGCUCAGGGCUUAACCCUGAAAUGGCAUUGAAUACUAGCGUGCUGGAGGUUUGGAGGGGGGGACUGGAAUUCUCGGUGUAGCAGUGAAAUGCGUAGAUAUCGAGAGGAACACCAGUGGCGAAGGCGAGUCCCUGGACAACACCUGACACUGAGGCACAAAGCCGGGGAGCAAACA
rnacentral:rRNA from 1 species